AUUAAGUGUCUCAUUGAAUCGCACCCCACCGCUGAAUGCCUCGCACGCUCUCCUUACUACUGGAAUUGGGAUCCUUGUCCCCACAUUUGAAGUGCCCACUUCACCCAUGGCUCCAGGAGAUGAGGAGAAGCAGCAGAGGAGGGAGGAGACCACCUUGAAAGUCCUGACCACCACCGGUACCAGCCGAACCGGAGCCUAAACCUAUCCGGCCAGGGAGGUCCCAGUGGCAGCAGAGACAACCCAGAUAAUAGGAGAAAUUCUUCAUAUUGUUGCCGUUUAGAUACCUCCUGGAGAGAUUCAGUCCAGAGAGCUGCACCAGUGAAGAAGAGGGCAAGGGAGAAGUGAUGAGG